rnacentral:rRNA from 1 species
AUGGUUUGUAGCACUUUGAUGAUGCUUGUUGCGUGGGAAAUUUGGAACGAACGUAAUGCGAGGGUUUUCCGCAACACCGCCGCCCCUACUACCGUUGUCAUUACCAAGAUUAAAGAUGAGGCUUCUAUUUGGGCUCGUGCGGGUGCGAAGUAUUUGUGUAAUAUUAUGUCGCGAGAGUGA